GGGGAUAUGGCUUAGUGGCACAGCGCCUGCCUGGCAAGCAUGAGGUGUCCUGGUUUGAGUACCUGUAACUCCC
rnacentral:tRNA from 1 species